GUUCUCUUAGUUCAAUGGUUAGAACGACAUUCUUCUAAAGUGUAUAUUCUGGUUCGAGUCCGGAAGAGAAUA
rnacentral:tRNA from 1 species